UGACAGUGACUUGGGUCACAUGGUGCAAGACCCUUUGUAUUGUUCAUGGUACUUGCCAUCAAAAUGUUCAAAUUAAUGGAGCCUGUGAAAGCGCAGGUUGUAUGGAGUAUAAAGCCUAUAGAGUUUUUUUAAAAUCUUUUUUCUUCUUGAAACGUGUGCAUGCUGUUUUUGGGAACAAUACAAACUGCAUGUUGAGGUCAGACAAAUUCAGGUGCUAAAUAAUUUGUUUCUCUAAUGGACUUAGAUUGUAUUUGCUAUCAGGUUUUAUAAGAGGGCUUUUUGUGUAGCCUCUGAAGUUACUCUAGUAUAUUUGUUAUGUGUGGAGAGGUGGGGCAGAAAUAGAAAAUGUCACAUGUUCCCCAUUAUUUUAAGGAAAGAAAAGAUAACUUUGUCUCACUAAUUUCAUUUCAGACAAGUGGAUUUUAUAGGUAAUAGGUUCAAUUCUCGAUUUAAUUUCAUUUCCAGAGACACUAUAAAAUGACACAAAACUUUUCCCCCUCACUGUUGUUUUUGGAACAAGACGACAUAUCUCCUGGUAAAUGCAGUCAUACAUGAUAUGGCUCAAUGCCUGGACUGCCUGCCUUGUAAAUAACUGAUGGCACUCUUAAUAAAUGGGAAAAUGUUUUUCCUUAGAUUUCAUCCACAUUUUAUAGCUACCAUAGCAAACACACUGAGUAUUUCAAAAUAGCACUUUGCCUUUUUCCUGAAUGUGUGCUCCGUGUCAUCAAGUUCAUCUUACUGGAAAGUUUAAGUGGUAAAAUUAGAUGGAACAUACUUUGAUAAUGCAUUGCAUGUCAGGUUAUAAAUAUGAACUGGAUUUAAUAUUUGGCCAAGAUAGUCCUCACAAGUGCAUUUGGAAACAUUUGUCAAAUGCUGAACUUAGAUUUCUGGCCUCUCCUGGGAGUCGUCCAGAUACAGGAAGGCAUCUUAGAUGCUCACCUAUACAGUCUCUGUGCUAAUAAAAUGGAAUGGCGUGGGUGCUGGGUGGUUUAUAAUGUGAUGCCUGUGGGUGGAGAAGUAACUCAUGGAUCUUGGCCUUUUCACUCUUCACAGAAACUGCGCCAAGGCCAAGUCAUCACAUUAUAUGGGCAUUAUGUGCUGGGGGGGUUGGGGUGGGUUGCAGGAUGGGAGCCUUGAUGUUGAGGAUGGGCAGUGAUGCUGCCUCCACCAGCCAUCAGCCAACCACAACCACAAUGUACAUCCUCUUUGUCUGCCCUUAGCUUUGGGACUGGGUAGCAGGGAGAGGGAAAACUAUAAGAGCAUUUCAAAGAAGGAGGGAAGUUAAUACCUUGAAAGGAGAACUGACGUAGAAGCACGCCAUUGUCCUUACCUCAGUCUGGAAUGGGAGAUUCCCAUCUGUCAGAUCAGGAAGGAUAAUGAGCUUUGAAAAGCACUGAAAGGCCGGGCGUGGUGGCUCACGCCUGUAAUCCCAGCACUUUGGGAGGCCAAGAUGGGAGGAUCACUAGAGCCCAGGAGUUCAAGAGCAGCCUGGGCAACACGGCGAAAUCCUGUCUCUACAAAAAAUAAGAAAAAAUUAGCCCGGUGUGGUGGCAGGUGCCUGUAAUCCCAGAUACUCAGGAGGCUGAUGUGGGAGGAUCAUCUGAGCCCAGGAGGUUGAGGCUGCACUGAGCCAUGAUCACACCAUUGCAUUCCAGCAUGGGCAACAGAGUGAGACCCUACCUAAGAAAAGAAAGAAAAGAAAAGAAAAGCAUUGGGAAAGGAAGAGGGUAUGGUUUAAAAGGCAAUAAGAAAUCUUAGGAAGAGUGGAGCGUGGUAGGCACAAGGGAUGGUGUUAAAGGCAGAGGGAAGGAUACAGAGGAGAGGGGGGGAAACACAAGGAGGAUGUGGGCCGUCUGGCCAGACCACCUUGGUGCCACAGUGGUGACCAAAGUAAAGAGGUGGGAGAAGCUGCUUCCCUCAUUUAUCUGAAUUGUAAGCUCAGCAACACUGGCCCAGUAGAAAUUCAUGUACCUGUAGCAGAAACUUGGCUAAACACCCUUGUCAUUGAGGCAUUUCCACAUUUUCAGCUUAUUUCGAAUUGUUGCCAGCCCAGUUUAAUGGUCUUCAGAGCCGUCCUGAGUAAAUGCUGGCUUCAGGUCUCCAGCUUUGCAUUGUCUACUUUUGAUCUCUCACUAAAAGUAGGAUGAAAAGUUGAAAUUGAGACAGCAUAUUCUAAACUAGCUGAGCCUUUGAAGAAUUCUUAUUAGAAAAAAUGAAAUUGCUUGCGUGAAGUGUGAUGGUGUGUUAAUACCUACGUAGUUACCUGGUAUGAGAAUGAUCUGAAUUGUUAAAAGAAACAAUAGGAAAACAUAUUAGGAAUUGUUAUUUCAACAAGAGGAUUUUAAAUGUGUGUCAUUUGAAUAUGUUUAUCUUUUAACCUCAGCACUCUACACCCCCAAGCGCAUAUGGGUCUGUCAAAGCCUAUACUAACUUUGAUGCUGAGCGGGAUGCUUUGAACAUUGAAACAGCCAUCAAGACCAAAGGUGUGGAUGAGGUCACCAUUGUCAACAUUUUGACCAACCGCAGCAAUGCGCAGAGACAGGAUAUUGCCUUCGCCUACCAGAGAAGGACCAAAAAGGAACUUGCAUCAGCACUGAAGUCAGCCUUAUCUGGCCACCUGGAGACGGUGAUUUUGGGCCUAUUGAAGACACCUGCUCAGUAUGACGCUUCUGAGCUAAAAGCUUCCAUGAAGGGACUGGGAACCGACGAGGACUCUCUCAUUGAGAUCAUCUGCUCCAGAACCAACCAGGAGCUGCAGGAAAUUAACAGAGUCUACAAGGAAAUGUACAAGACUGAUCUGGAGAAAGACAUUAUUUCGGACACAUCUGGUGACUUCCGCAAGCUGAUGGUUGCUCUGGCAAAGGGUAGAAGAGCAGAGGAUGGCUCUGUCAUUGAUUAUGAACUGAUUGACCAAGAUGCCCGGGAUCUCUAUGACGCUGGAGUGAAGAGGAAAGGAACUGAUGUUCCCAAGUGGAUCAGCAUCAUGACCGAGCGGAGCGUGCCCCACCUCCAGAAAGUAUUUGAUAGGUACAAGAGUUACAGCCCUUAUGACAUGUUGGAAAGCAUCAGGAAAGAGGUUAAAGGAGACCUGGAAAAUGCUUUCCUGAACCUGGUUCAGUGCAUUCAGAACAAGCCCCUGUAUUUUGCUGAUCGGCUGUAUGACUCCAUGAAGCAAGACACUAAGGGCGACUACCAGAAAGCGCUGCUGUACCUGUGUGGUGGAGACGACUGAAGCCCGACACGGCCUGAGCGUCCAGAAAUGGUGCUCACCAUGCUUCCAGCUAACAGGUCUACAAAACCAGCUUGCGAAUAACAGUCCCUGUGGCCAUCCCUGUGAGGGUGACGUUAGCAUUACCCCCAACCUCAUUUUAGUUGCCUAAGCAUUGCCUGGCCUUCCUGUCUAGUCUCUCCUGUAAGCCAAAGAAAUGAACAUUCCAAGGAGUUGGAAGUGAAGUCUAUGAUGUGAAACACUUUGCCUCCUGUGUACUGUGUCAUAAACAGAUGAAUAAACUGAAUUUGUACUUU
rnacentral:sRNA from 1 species